rnacentral:rRNA from 1 species
AAAAACAUGGCUCUUUGGUUUUAAUACAUAAAGAGUCGGGCCUGCCCGGUGAAUAAUUUUUUUAACGGCCGCGGUAUUUUGACUGUGCGAAGGUAGCAUAAUCAUUUGCUCUAUAAUUGAGGGCUGGUAUGAAUGGUUUGACGUGAGCAAAGCUGUCUCUAUAUUGAUUUUUUAGAAUUUGAUUUUUAGGUGAAGAAACCUAAAUUUUAUUAAAAGACAAGAAGACCCUAUUGAGCUUUAAAAAAGUAUGUAAGUUAGAAGUUAUUUAUUAAAAAAUUUAUUUAUUUAAAAUUUUGGUUGGGGCGACUAAGGAACAAUUAAAGCUUCCUUUAUAUUUUAAGGUUUUGCAGAUGUUGAUCCAAACAUUUUGAUUAAAGAAAUUAGUUACCAUAGGGAUAACAGCAUAAUUCUUUUUGAGAGUUCUUAUCGAAAAGAGAGUUUGUGACCUCGAUGUUGGACUAAAAUUUCCUAAAGAUGUAGUAGUCUUUAAGGGUUGGUCUGUUCGACCAUUAAAAUUUUACGUGAUCUGA